AGCAGGCCACAGCUCCAACAAUAAACAGCGGCACGUGUAGCCCUACACGCCUCUUUUUCGUCACAAUACCGCAACCACCCAUCCCUGUCCCAUCCCAUCCCUUCCUUGGCCACCCAAACCGAAAGCACCGCUCCGACCUACCCUAACAUGGUGGAUUGUUUUUCUGUCCGGCUGAAGCAUAUCAUCCCCUCCAAUGUCUCCUUCCGUGUGCUCCACUCCUCUUCCCUUACCCUCGCAAGUCCCCAGGAUGCCGAAUCUCCCCUGGGAGCUCAUCCUGGACAUCCUCUCCCGUCUGCCGGCGACAUCUCUCCUGCGAUUCAGAUGCGUUUCUAAGCCAUGGCGCUCUUUAAUUGACAGCCCUGAUUUCGUCCAGAUGCACCUGCGCCAAUCUCAGAAAGCCGCCGGCACCACCAAUCGAAGCCUCAUCCUUGGGUUUCUGGGAAUCUAUUCCAUUGACUUGGAUUCCCUCGACUGCGCCCGCCCUCUCAGGCCCCCCUUUUCCAGUUCUGAUGUGUCGAAUUCCUGCAAUGGCUUGGUUCUUCUCCUGGGUCAAAAUCAAACGCCUUUUCUGUGGAACCCAUGUACCAGAAAAUACAAGACUUUACCCGAUUCCCCUCAUGAAUAUCCUCCUCCUGGGAUUCCUGUGGACUACAACGCUUUAUACAAGAGGUAUGGGUUUGGCUAUGUUGCUCAAGACGAUGAUUAUAAAGUUCUUAGGGUUGUCGAAUUUCGAUCUCCCGAUUCCACUUGGAUCGGUUCUGAAGCUAAAAUCUAUAGCCUGAAAACCAAUUCUUGGAGAAGGGUUGAUCAUUAUCCUUUUCCUCUCCCCCGAAUAAGAGGGUGGGGUGUCCAUGUUAACGGGGCUGUGCAUACAGUCUUAUCGCUCGACAACUAUUACCAAGAAAUUGUAGCUUUUGAUCUGAGGACUGAAAAGCACUAUACGAUCCCAAAACCGGAUCUUUUGCUUGAGAACGUUGAGUUGAGUGUGGAUGAAAUGGCUGGGUGUCUCUGCUUGCUUGUUCGCAAAAAACGCAGGAUUAAUAUAUGGAUCAUGAAGGAGUACCAUGUGAAGAGCUCCUGGACUAAGCUUUUGUCGAUUGCUCCUCCUCUUAUUGAUGAGCAUUGUUCUCUUAUUAGCCCUUUAGCUUAUUCAAGGAGGGGCGACGAGGUUCUGUUGAAUUGCGAUGAUGAAAAGCUUGUUUGGUAUGAUUUGACGAGGAAAACUACUAGAGACGUUGAUGUCCAGGGUUUGCCUUUUAGGUUCUACGCCGAGUUUUUUGUUGGAAGCCUUCUUCCUCUUGAAAAUGGCUGUCGUGGUGGUGGUGGUGGAGAGGAUGAGAUUGGCAUCACGAGAAGGGCUACUAGACAAAAAAAUACAAAGGUGAACGACACCCGGAAGAAGAGGGAUGAUUUCCUGUCGAAGGGAUUUAAACUGGUCCUUUAAGACUCCAGCUAUGGAUGUUUAUGGAGCCAAAAAUAAAAAAGAAUAUGUUCUAUAAUGGCACAAAAUCUAGCAGACAGUUUAAGGACAGAGAAAGAGACAGAAUUAUGUAGCAGGAGUGCGAAUAGUUUCUCAUGGAAGCUGCUAAAAUGGAUUUUCUGAUGCUUACGAUCCUCAAUUCAUUUGUUGAUGUCUCUAGUCUGAACAUGCUUCUUUCUCCUUUCUUCCUUUUCAAUUUAGAGCCUGAACUUUCUGUCCCUUUGAGGAUUAUCCUUCAGUUAUGCUGUAUUGAAUUUCAUGAUCUUAUGCUUUGGGAAGGAGUGUCAGCUGAGGUUUGCUUGAUUUCUUGAGCUUGUUUGUUAUGUUCGUGGGUUGGAUUGUGUUUCUGGGUGUGGAUGCGAAGAAGGAUGUCUUGAGUUGCUGGAGCUGGAAGCCAAAAAUUAGAGAGGGAUGCUUUCUGGAUCCAUUAGCAGUAUUUAUUGAAUGAUCAAGCAUGAGCUGAUGAUUGUAUGAUGCUAGAUUUAGUGGUGUUCUGGUUAGAGCUGUUGUGGCCGUGAAACCACUUUCCAUCAUUUUCGUUGUAGUUGGUGUUGGGGUUUGCUCAUCAACAUUAUCUUGAAUUCAAGAGUUGUUCCUGUAAUUAGACCUUUUCUUUCUGACCUUAAUGUUCUCCA